rnacentral:rRNA from 1 species
AAUGAACGCUGGCGGCAGGCCUAACACAUGCAAGUCGAGCGAGCAUUUCGGUGCUAGCGGCGGACGGGGGAGUAACGCGUGGGAACGUGCCCUUGUCUGCGGAAUAGUUCUGGGAAACUGGGGGUAAUACCGCAUACGCCCUUAUGGGGAAAGAUUUAUCGGAGUAGGAUCGGCCCGCGUUGGAUUAGGUAGUUGGUGGGGUAAUGGCCCACCAAGCCGACGAUCCAUAGCUGGUUUGGGAGGAUGAUCAGCCACACUGGGGCUGCGACACGGCCCAGACUCCUACGGGAGGCAGCAGUGGGGAAUCUUAGACAAUGGGGGCAACCCUGAUCUAGCCAUGCCGCGUGAGUGAUGAAGGCCUUAGGGUUGUAAAGCUCUUUCAGCUGGGAAGAUAAUGACGGUACCAGCAGAAGAAGCCCCGGCUAACUCCGUG